UGGGCUUGACAUGCAGGGGAAACGCCCCAGAAACGGGGCGCCCUCUUCGGAGUCCCUGCACAGGUGCUGCAUGGCUGUCGUCAGCUCGUGUCGUGAGAUGUUGGGUUAAGUCCCGCAACGAGCGCAACCCCCGUCCCUAGUUACCAGCGGGUCAUGCCGGGCACUCUAGGGAGACUGCCGGUGCCAAACCGGAGGAAGGUGGGGAUGACGUCGUAUCUCACUG
rnacentral:misc_RNA from 1 species